GUUCCAUUCUUCUCCCCUCCCCAUCCACUCUAGUUAGAGGGAAGUGGUCUAGAAUGGGAAUAAGGACGCAGACUCCAGAGCAGGUUGCCUGCAUGAACUCCAGGUCCCAAUCAGCCAGUUCUAAACUAAAAGUUCAGAUAUUCUGAACUGUGGAACAAACAUGACAUGGGCCUGCUGAGGUAGAAAUGUGGACUUUUGGGAUGUGAGACCGAAAUAACUCAUAGAUCAGGGUCCUUCCUAAAUCUACAGAGUGGCAACAAACCUAAUUCACUUAUUAAAAUAAUCAUUGAGAUGGAAAUUGCAAAUGUUCUGACUCUGGAGAGAUAGAGGAUGACUGGCAGGCAAAGGAGAAAUCUCAGGCUUCAGUAAUGAGAGUUUUUCAUGAGUCACUUAGUCAAACUCAUGAGAUCUGGAGAGUCUAUGGGGAAGGGGUUCAGGGAUAGAGAAAGCCAGAGACGAUGAGGUUGGGAGAGUAAGCUUCUCUUACCAUUGUUCUGCAUUCUCCCUACUCCCAUACUCUUCCAGUGGGGCAAAGUGCCCCAAAGUGUAAAUCAGUGUGUCCCAAGGGGUCUGGAGUUUAGGUUCCUGCACAUGGCAGAGGGCCUUGCUAAACUGGUUUGACCUUUCUCUUAUCCCCAACAAAGUUCUGAAUGUGGGUUCUGACUCUGAGCAAAAGGCAUACUUCAUGAAGUUUCCUGCUGCCCUUUCACUACACAGUUGGACUUGGAGGCAAACUUGGAUGAUAAAAAUACAGUUCCCAUGCUAUCCCUUAUAAAGAUUUAAGAGAAAG